GAUGAACGCUAGCGGCAGGCCUAACACAUGCAAGUCGAGGGAGAAGCCCUUCGGGGCAGAAACCGGCGCACGGGUGCGUAACGCGUAUGCAACCUACCUUUCACAGGGGGAUAGCCCGAAGAAAUUUGGAUUAAUACCCCAUAAUAUUAUUGGAUGGCAUCAUUUGAUAAUUAAAACUGAGGUGGUGAAAGAUGGGCAUGCGUCCUAUUAGCUAGUUGGAGUGGUAACGGCACCCCAAGGCUACGAUAGGUAGGGGUCCUGAGAGGGAGAUCCCCCACACUGGUACUGAGACAGGGACCAGACUCCUACGGGAGGCAGCAGUGAGGAAUAUUGGCCAAUGGUCGGAAGACUGAACCAGCCAUGCCGCGUGCAGGAAGAAUGCCUUAUGGGUUGUAAACUGCUUUUAUAAGGGAAGAAUAAGGAGUACGUGUACUUNGANGACGNUNCCA
rnacentral:rRNA from 1 species